GGGUGCGUAGCUCAGGGGAUAGAGCACCAGAUUCCGGUUCUGGGUGUCGGGGGUUCGAUUCCCUCCGUACUCG
rfam:Geminocystis sp. NIES-3708 DNA, complete genome.